rnacentral:rRNA from 1 species
AUUGAACGCUGGCGGCAUGCUUUACACAUGCAAGUCGAACGGUAACAGGGAGCUUGCUCCGCUGACGAGUGGCGAACGGGUGAGUAAUGCGUCGGAACGUGCCGAGUAGUGGGGGAUAACGCAUCGAAAGGUGUGCUAAUACCGCAUACGAACUGAGGUUGAAAGGGGGGGACCUUCGGGCCUCACGCUAUUCGAGCGGCCGACGUCUGAUUAGCAAGUUGGUGAGGUAAAGGCUCACCAAGGCGACGAUCAGUAGCGGGUCGGAGAGGAUGAUCCGCCACACUGGGACUGAGACACGGCCCAGACUCCUACGGGAGGCAGCAGUGGGGAAUUUUGGACAAUGGGCGCAAGCCUGAUCCAGCCAUGCCGCGUGUCUGAAGAAGGCCUUCGGGUUGUAAAGGACUUUUGUCCGGGAGCAAAUGCUGGUGGCUAACAUCCACCGGAGCUGAGAGUACCGGAAGAAUAAGCACCGGCUAACUACGUGCCAGCCGCCGCGGUAACAC